rnacentral:misc_RNA from 1 species
AAAUAACAUUCGUGAAUUUUUCGCGGAUUUGAGUUUUCCAGUAUUCAUUAUAAAUAAAUGUUGGUAACUUUAAAAUUAUUUAUUACUUGGUACAAGUUGAAAACGUACUAUAUGUGUGGUUCGCUGACAACUUGUCCAUCUUAUAUAUAUUAUGCGCGUGCUUGGCUUUUUAAAGUUUUGUGCGAGUAUAUAUUUUUU